GUUUGAUCCUGGCUCAGAGCGAACGUUAGCGGCGCGCCUAACACAUGCAAGUCGCACGAGAAAGGGGGCAACCCCCGGUACAGUGGCGCACGGGUGAGUAACACGUGGGUGAUCUGCCCAGAAGAAGGGGAUAACCUCUCGAAAGGGGGGCUAAUACCGCAUAGGACCACCGGGGCUUUGGCUCUGUGGUGAAAGGGGGCCUCUGUUUACAAGCUCCUGCUUCUGGAUGAGCCCGCGUCCCAUCAGCUAGUUGGUAGGGUAAUGGCCUACCAAGGCUACGACGGGUAGCUGGUCUAAGAGGAUGGCCAGCCACACUGGAACUGAGACACGGUCCAGACUCCUACGGGAGGCAGCAGUGGGGAAUCUUGCGCAAUGGGCGAAAGCCUGACGCAGCGACGCCGCGUGGGUGACGAAGGCC
rnacentral:rRNA from 1 species